AUGGAGCCAAUAGAGGAACCCAGUGGUAAAUUAUUCCCCCAUUUCAUGAUACCUGAGACGACAGCUGGGAUCACAUCCUCCUGCAUAGGGCGUGAAAGUGUUCGAGUGAUUGCUUGCUUGCUUUGUGAUGACGGGGUGCUAGAAAAGCAGGAGAUUGUGGCGCAAAGCAACUUCAACAUCCUGAGGAGCUUGGCGUCAGGCGAGAAUGAUGAUGACGAUGAGGAGGACGCCACCUUGUUGUCCCUGCUACACCAGCAGCUUGUCAUCCGAGAGCUCUUCCUCAACGCGCGUGGCCUUGGGCAUGUUGGUAUUUGUUGCAAUCUAAAAUAAAUCCACAAGC
rnacentral:lncRNA from 1 species